AUGUUUUUGUUUUGCUGGAAUCUUGUCAUGCUUGCUAGUAGCUUGCAGCGAGAACACGCAUCUGCUCGCCACGGACGACGAUCUGCACGAUCCACUCCGCUCGCAGGAGAGGGCAACCACCAUCAGAAGAUGCUGCAACCUCGGCGCGGCGGAGCUACAAGCGUAGGCCCGGAAGCUGCAACCAGCCAGACAAAUAAUGGAACCGGCAACGGCCGUGCUGCGACGGCGACGGCGGCGGUCGACCAUUGCUGGAACCAGCUACUUUUUUUGCUGGAACCACCAUUAAGUUUUGCUGGAACAGCUUUUUUUGUUGCUACAAUCAACUAG
rnacentral:rRNA from 1 species